UGAAUCAAACAGUAAUUUCAAAUAUCAAUCAAAUCUUUCUAUUUUUAUUACACAGAUACAUUAAACAAUUGAAUUUACAGGAGGAACCAGACCCAAUACAUUGCAAAUAAUCAGUUACAAUUUGAAACCCUAAAAUACAAAUCAAUCAAAUUACAAACUUCCUAAUUCAUCUAUCUAAUUGAAUUAUAAACUCUAAUUCUUAAUCUAUAUAAAGUUAAUGUUAAUUCUAUAUGAGAAGAGGAGAAAAGAAAAGAAAACCCCUAAGUAAUUAUUGCUGCAUACCGAACCAAAUCCAUCAAAGCUCUUGAAUUUUGAUACUUAGGGUUUUACACUAAAACCCUAAACAUUCGAGCUUAGCCUCCAUUUUAACCUACCUCGCACAAAUAUAAAAGAGACACAAAUAUUUAUAAGGAGAAGGAGAUAAGGAUCCAAGAGAAGGAUUUAGAAAAGUAACGAGAAUUUUACCUUUUACCGAAGAAGACCUCCUCUCCGAAGGUUGGUCACCCAUUUUAUUUGUUCUUGAUGUAUGACUUGUUUUGAAUGUUUGCUUGAUCACUAUGUUUAUUGGAAUAUAUUGGUAUUUGGUUAAUUUGAGAGAGAUUUACGGUUUUGAAAUUUGUUGUCUGAUUUGUGGUUUUGAUGACUGAUUAAGGAUAAGGGGUUACGUUCUAUGGUUUGGAGGUUGUUUAAGGUGGUUUUAGGAUUAGUCUGGGUUAGGGAUAGGUUAGACCGGAGGAAGAAGAUGAAGAUUCAUCUUAUUCAGGUUAGGGCUCAUCUGGAUAGGCUUAGGGUUCGUAGGUUUAAGUUAGGAUUCUUGGAUAUUGAGAGUUUUUGGGGAGGAUCGAUAAAGGUUUGAAAUUUCUGUUUGAAUAUCAACUGGAAACCUGGGGAAUAUGGUGGUGGGGAUGGUGGUU
rnacentral:lncRNA from 1 species